rnacentral:rRNA from 1 species
UACAGAGGUCUCGAGCGUUAAUCGGAGUCACUGGGCUUAAAGGGUGCGUAGGCCGCCUCGCAAGUGCUUUGUGAAAUCCCACGGCUCAACCGUGGAAUGGCUUGGCAGACUGCGGGGCUUGAGGUCGGUAGGGGCAGCCGGAACUCUAGGUGGAGCGGUGAAAUGCGUAGAUAUCUAGAGGAACGCCAAAGGUGAAGACAGGCUGCUGGGCCGAUUCUGACGCUGAGGCACGAAAGCGUGGGGAGCGAACGGG